CGACGGAUCGUGGACUCCCGUCAGCAGGGUAGGGGCUGGCCGUACCUUGUCGAUUGGGAGGGCUACGGCCUGGAGGACUGUACUUGGGUCCCCGGGUUGUUUAUUUGUGACCCCUAAUUGAUCUCUGAUUAUAUUGUCUCCUUGCCUUUUUCCUCUUCUCGGCUGCCAGGUGGCAACCGUUGAGGGAGGGAUGAUGUCGGAGUCUGGGAGUUUUCAUGUAUUGUUUUGCCUGCUGCUAACACUUACUCACCACUAGAUGCUACCAAGAUCUUCCAGUGUUGAGGGUAGCAGGUGUUCCUCAUUCUCAUCAGCCUGAAGGAGUAUAAGAAGGUGGAGCUGUCAGCACUCCAGUGCCUGAGUGUCAGCCUUUGGGCUAACGUCAUCUGACCAAGCUCUAUGCUCUGUGUUCUUGAAAAAGUUCAUAGUUAUUUACCUCUUCGUGUGCUUCUUCCUAGGUGACGUUCAAGUCCAAGCCUCAAAGCUCCAGCAACCUUCAGCCCUGGCUCAAAGUCUCUGCUUUGGAUCCUGCCUUAGUCAGAGUUUCCAAACCUACAAGAAACCUACCUGGCUCAAGUACUAGCUGACAGCUCAAAGCCUUCGUCCUUCAGUAAGCGAACCCUCCAACCAUUACCUUCACAUACAGCUUCCGGAAAUUUCCCCAGGCUCCACAUCAUUCUCCCUCGAUCAAACUCAACUCCAUCUCCAUCGAUCGUGGCAGGUGGCUGCUCACACUGAGC